GGAGUUCUUCAUCGUGCAGCUUCUGGUGUUUUCUUCACUGCGGCCCCGAGGAAUUCUGCAUUGUCCAACCUUUGGGGUUCUCCUCACCGUGUUUUCCCUGAGGAGAACUUCAUCGUGCAUCUGUUGGCCCCGAGGAGUUCUUCAUCGUUCAGGUUUUGGGGUUCUCCUCACUGCGGCCCAUGAGGAGUUUUGCAUCGUGCAGGUUUUGCGGUUCUCCAGAGCACGUUGCCCCUGAGGAGAGCUUCAUGGUGCAGCUUUCGGUGUUUUCUUCAGUCUGCGACCCUGGAGGAGUACGUCAUCGUGCAGCUUUUGGUGUUUGCGUCACCGUGGCCCUGAGGAGUUCUUCAUCGUGCAUCUUUCGCGGUUCUCUUCAGCACUUUUCCCCUGAGGAGAGCUUCAUCGUCCAGCUUUUGGUGUUGUUUUAACCUUGCUGCCCCUGAGAAGUGCUUCAUCUUCCAACUUUGGGUGUUUUUUUCUUGUUCCAGGCCCUGAGGAUUGCUUCAUCGUGCAGCUUCUGUUGUUUUCUUCACUGCGGCCCCUGAGGAGUUCUUCAUGGCGCAGCUUUUGGUGUUUCUUCACUGCAGUUCCUGAGGAGGGGUUUAUUGAGCAGCUCGUAGUGUGUCCUUCACGUUGCGAUACUUGAGGAGAUCUGCAUCGUCCAGCUUUUG